rnacentral:rRNA from 1 species
GUGGGGAAUAUUGGACAAUGGGCGCAAGCCUGAUCCAGCCAUGCCGCGUGAGUGAUGAAGGCCCUAGGGUUGUAAAGCUCUUUCAACGGUGAAGAUAAUGACGGUAACCGUAGAAGAAGCCCCGGCUAACUUCGUGCCAGCAGCCGCGGUAAUACGAAGGGGGCUAGCGUUGUUCGGAAUUACUAGGCGUAAAGCGCACGUAGGCGGAUCGUUAAGUCGGGGGUGAAAUCCCGGGGCUCAACCCCGGAACUGCCUUCGAUACUGGCGAUCUAGAGUUCGAGAGAGGUGAGUGGAAUUCCGAGUGUAGAGGUGAAAUUCGUAGAUAUUCGGAGGAACACCAGUGGCGAAGGCGGCUCACUGGCUCGAUACUGACGCUGAGGUGCGAAAGCGUGGGGAGCAAACAGGAUUAGAAACCCUUGUAGUCC